AGGAGAUCGUUGGAUUCAUCAGACACGCUGCAAAACCGGUAGACUAACUGAUCUGGCCGGUCGUGAUCAAAGCCUGAGAAGUGGAUCAUCCCGCCGGGCAGCUUCUUGAUGAGUUACAAUAAAAGAGCAACCCAAAUGUAGAACAAGAGCAGAGAAAUCAUAACCCAAAUCCAACUGGUGAUGAAUAGACAUUUGACAAGAGGCCACGUAUGGACACAGAGAGAUGGAGACCAUCUGCAAGCCAGGAAGAGAGGCCUCACCAAACACCAACCCGAUGGCAUCUUGAUAUUGGACUUCUGGCCCCCAGGACUGUGAGAAAAAAAAUCCACUGUUUAAGUCACCCAGUUUGGGUUAUCUUCUCUGUCAACGUGAGCAGAGAAAUACAUGACAUGACUCCAACCAUCUGCCAUCUGGAAAAGGCAAGACUAUAGAGACAAGAAAAAGAAGACUUUCCCCUAAUCAUCUAAACAUGUAGCAUAUUUGUGACCUAAUGAUGAUGAUUGAAAAGGUUGGUCCACUUUUCAAAGAAAAAUAACAUUCACCUGGAACAUCUGAAAACACUACAUUUUUAGUGAUUUUGACAUUUGCUGAUAGUCUACCACGUGAAGAGAUUGAAGACGAGGAAGGAAGUCAGUGUCCAAAUCCCCUUCACAAGUAGCAGCACGUCGCCAAGAUGGGGCGAGCCUGCCUGCCAGCUAAGGCCUUGCUUGAAGUGAGGGUGGUUGCCGGGGAACCGUAUGUGGCCCAAAGCAUAUAUACCCCUUUCUUCAGAGACAUUAAGGAAAGAUUCUGAAUGUAUCCAUAUGGAGGAUCUACAAAGCCAAAAACAUCCAUUACCCCUUCUAAGUGAAUUCUCAGGACUACUCACCUUUCA